UACGUAGGGUGCAAGCGUUAUCCGGAUUUACUGGGUUUAAAGGGUGCGUAGGCGGAUUUGUAAGUCAGUGGUGAAAUCUCCGGGCUUAACUCGGAAACUGCCAUUGAUACUAUCAGUCUUGAAUAUCGUGGAGGCCAGUAGAAUAUGUCAUGUAGCGGUGAAAUUCGUAGAUAUCGAGAGGAACACCUGUGGCGAAGGCGGCCACCUGGACGAGUACUGACGCUGAGACACGAAAGCGUGGGGAGCAAACAGG
rnacentral:rRNA from 1 species